UUUGCAUUCGGUGUGAUAGAGGAUCAAUGAGGUGUCAAUGAUAUAUUGUGCAAACAGUAUCAGUUGAGAUAGGAAUGUUGUGUUGUGUGAAGAAUGGGCAAUUUAUUCGGCGGCGCGGAAAUUGAUACAAAAUCUAUUUGUGUGAGAGUCGGUACUCGCGAAAUGUAGGCGGAAGGCGUCUGAGUAUCGUCGAUCUGGAAUUAGACGGCCGUGUGCUGCAUUGUGAAAGCGAAUGUUUAUCUGCCGUUUAAUUACGAAUUCGCAAUGAAGUUCCAAGGUGUUUGAUGCAAUGUAAAACGAAUAAAGAUUUAAAUCAAAACAAACUGUGAAAGAGAAGUGAAUCAACCAAGCGUAUUGCCUGCCGUUGACAUGAUGAGUGGCACUGCCUUCCUUACUGAACUGAUGUUCACUAUCUACUUUAAAACAUCCUGACAAAGUUCGUCGAGGCACGGACAUAUUCAAUUGCAGCCUUUCAUUGAGAUACUGCACCACCCCCUGUGCU